rnacentral:rRNA from 1 species
GAUGAACGCUGGCGGCGUGCUUAAUACAUGCAAGUCGAGCGAACGGACGGGAAGCUUGCUUCUCUGAUGUUAGCGACGGACGGGUGAGUAACACGUACGUAACCUACCUAUAAGACUGGGAUAACUUAGGGAAACCGAAGCCAACACAGGACAAUAUUGUGAACCGCAUGGUUCAAAAGUCAAAGACGGACUUGCUCUCACUUAUUGAUGGAUCCGCGCUGCAUUAGCUAGUUGGUAAGGUAACGGCUUACCAAGGCAACGAUGCGUAGCCGACCUGAGAGGAGGAUCGGCCACACUGGAACUGAGACACGGCCCAGACUCCUACGGGAGGCAGCAGUAGGGAAUCUUGCGCAAUGGGGGAAAGCCUGACGGAGCAACGCCGCGUGCGGGAUGAAGGUCUUCGGAUCGUAAAACUCUGUUAUUAGGGAAGAACAUCUGUGUGCGUAAAUGUGCACAUCUUGACGGUACCGGAACAGAAAGCCACGGCUAACUACGUG